AUGGGCGAAAGCCUGAUCCAGCAAUGCCGCGUGAGUGAUGAAGGCCUUAGGGUUGUAAAGCUCUUUUACAAGGGAUGAUAAUGACAGUACCUGGAGAAUAAGCUCCGGCUAACUCCGUGCCAGCAGCCGCGGUAAUACGGAGGGAGCUAGCGUUGUUCGGAAUUACUGGGCGUAAAGCGCGCGUAGGCGGUCCAUUAAGUCAGGGGUGAAAUCCCGGAGCUCAACUCCGGAACUGCCCUUGAAACUGGCGGACUAGAAUCCUGGAGAGGCGAGUGGAAUUCCGAGUGUAGAGGUGAAAUUCGUAGAUAUUCGGAAGAACACCAGUGGCGAAGGCGACUCGCUGGACAGGUAUUGACGCUGAGGUGGGAAAGCGUGGGGAGCAACCAGGUUUAGAUACCCUGGUAGUCCACCCCGUAAACGAUGAUAACUAGCUGUUCGGGCUCUUAGAGCGUGAGUGGCGCAGCUAACGCAUUAAGUUAUCCGCCUGG
rnacentral:rRNA from 1 species